CUUUGCUCUUGUUUAUCUGUCUUUUAUGAUAGGUGUCUCAGCCAUAAACCUAGCAAUGGGGGAGGAAAUAACUUUUUCUUCCCUUACAGAACUGGAUUCAGCACCGCAAAACUGAAACCGCCUCCAGAAAAGAGCCUCCUGCGAGAACGCAGAGGCUUGCCUUUCUCUCCUGUCGCUGAGAGUCCCUGGCUGGCUUGGGGACCCCAUGGUGCUGCUCGCUCUUGCCUGGCGCUGGUGGGGGCUUCCUGCUCCUGACCUCAUACUGCCUCUGCGGCGGAGGGCCUGGGACAGAGGGGAUCCCUGCCCAUCCCGCCAGCCCUCUUCUCAGGAAGCUUCUGGAAUCUCCACCCAAAAACUUCACUGACAUUCUGCUGACCAGAGCGUGGUGAUAUGGCCACCCCAUCUCACAAGGGGGCUGGAAAAAUGCAUUUUCUUCAGCUGCGCACCUUAUACCCCACAGCAGUACUACGGGCCUGGUAGUGAGGAAGAGGAUGGGUAACGGAGGUUAGGUCAGCAGCUAGCAGUGUUGGCCACCAGGGGAGAGUCACAGCCACUUUCUGGGCCUGGUGGUGACUUCACAUUGGUUGCCAGGAGGAUGAUUUUGAAGAUGCGCCUGUCGAGCCCUCUUGUAACUAAUUCUCCAGUGUCUGCCGUUGAAGGUGUCCAGUAGCUAACUUCAGGACUCUGUCAUCCCCUCUUCAUUUGGGGUAAUUUCCUCUACUUACUUGAAACAUUCAGAUUUUCCACUGUCAGUUUUGGGUGAAUGAAUUAUGCUUAUUACUUUUAAUAAAA
rnacentral:lncRNA from 1 species